AUCUUUGCGCUUGGGGCAAUGUCGCAGUUAAUGAGGUCUAACCGAGACGCGACUAUUGCUGGUUGAAAACUAUAUCCAAUCCUCACGUUUUUUGAAUAAAAACGUAAUUUCUGGCUGCUUGGCGCCUCGGCUGUAUCCAAG
rnacentral:snRNA from 1 species